rnacentral:rRNA from 1 species
AUUGAACGCCGGCGGCAUGCCUUACACAUGCAAGUCGAACGGCAGCACGGGGCAACCUGGUGGCGAGUGGCGAACGGGUGAGUAAUGCAUCGGAACGUACCUUUCAGUGGGGGAUAACGUAGCGAAAGUUACGCUAAUACCGCAUAUUCUGUGAGCAGGAAAGCAGGGGAUCGCAAGACCUUGCGCUGAUUGAGCGGCCGAUGUCAGAUUAGCUAGUUGGUGAGGUAAAGGCUCACCAAGGCGACGAUCUGUAGCGGGUCUGAGAGGAUGAUCCGCCACACUGGAACUGAGACACGGUCCAGACUCCUACGGGAGGCAGCAGUUGGGAAUUUUGGACAAUGGGGGCAACCCUGAUCCAGCCAUGCCGCGUGAGUGAAGAAGGCCUUCGGGUUGUAAAGCUCUUUCGGCCGGGAAGAAAUCGCACGGGCUAAUACCCUGUGUGGAUGACGGUACCGGAAUAAGAAGCACCGGCUAACUACGUGCCAGCAGCCGCGGUAAGAC